rnacentral:rRNA from 1 species
GAUGAACGCUGGCGGCGUGCCUAAUACAUGCAAGUCGAGCGAACAGACGAGGAGCUUGCUCCUCUGACGUUAGCGGCGGACGGGUGAGUAACACGUGGAUAACCUACCUAUAAGACUGGGAUAACUUCGGGAAACCGGAGCUAAUACCGGAUAAUAUAUUGAACCGCAUGGUUCAAUAGUGAAAGACGGUUUUGCUGUCACUUAUAGAUGGAUCCGCGCCGCAUUAGCUAGUUGGUACGGUAACGGCUUACCAAGGCAACGAUGCGUAGCCGACCUGAGAGGGUGAUCGGCCACACUGGAACUGAGACACGGUCCAGACUCCUACGGGAGGCAGCAGUAGGGAAUCUUCCGCAAUGGGCGAAAGCCUGACGGAGCAACGCCGCGUGAAUGAUGAAGGUCUUCGGAUCGUAAAACUCUGUUAUUAGGGAAGAACAAAUGUGUAAGUAACUAUGCACGUCUUGACGGUACCUAAUCAGAAAGCCACGGCUAACUACGUG